CCUACGGGUGGCAGCAGUAGGGAAUAUUGCUCAAUGGGGGAAACCCUGAAGCAGCAACGCCGCGUGGAGGAUGAAGGUUUUCGGAUUGUAAACUCCUUUUGUUAGAGAAGAUAAUGACGGUAUCUAACGAAUAAGCACCGGCUAACUCCGUGCCAGCAGCCGCGGUAAUACGGAGGGUGCAAGCGUUACUCGGAAUCACUGGGCGUAAAGAGCGCGUAGGCGGGAUAGCAAGUCAGAUGUGAAAUCCUAUGGCUUAACCAUAGAACUGCAUUUGAAACUGUUAUUCUAGAGUAUGGGAGAGGGAGGUGGAAUUCUGGGGGGAGGGGUAAAAUCCGAAGAGAUAAAGAGGAAUACUCAGGGAGAAGGCGACCUGAAAGAACAAAACGGACGAUGAGGCGAGAAGGCGUGGGGAGAAAACAGGAUUAGACACCCAAGUAGCC
rnacentral:rRNA from 1 species